rnacentral:lncRNA from 1 species
UCAUAAUAAACUAUAGUAUUUUUAGUUAAGUCAGAUCUUUCAUUUUUAUACAGCCAUAUCUAAAAAAUAUUAUCCUUGUAGAUAUCAUAACAAAGCAACAUAUCCAAAAUAUAUCGUAAAGCAUCAAAUAUGCACCAAGACAAACCCACAUCAAUCUCCUUAGCAAGCCUUGUGUAUAUCACAACAAACCUACUAUAGUUUUUGAUAGGAUAUUGACUAGGCA